rnacentral:rRNA from 1 species
AGUAAUGUCUGGGAAACUGCCUGAUGGAGGGGGGUAACUACUGGAAACGGUAGCUAAUACCGCAUAACGUCGCAAGACCAAAGUGGGGGACCGUUCGGGGCCUCAUGCCAUCAGAUGUGCCCAGAUGGGAUUAGCUAGUAGGUGGGGUAACGGCUCACCUAGGCGACGAUCCCUAGCUGGUCUGAGAGGAUGACCAGCCACACUGGAACUGAGACACGGUCCAG